ACGAAUGUACCAAUUAUGAGCAGAGGAUGGAUCAGCAGCAACACCAAUGCCUUGUUCCAUCAUAAAGCCAACAGCAUACUGAGCUUUAGCCAAACCUUUGCAAGCCGCUUUAUGCGCCCAAAGUAAAGCUUCUUCUCCAUUCUUAGGCAAAAUACCCUCUGAACCCGUUAAAUACCAACCGGAAAGUCCUAGUUCUGCCUCGCCA